rnacentral:rRNA from 1 species
UACGUAGGGUGCGAGCGUUGUCCGGAAUUAUUGGGCGUAAAGAGCUCGUAGGCGGUCUGUCGCGUCUGCUGUGAAAUCCCGAGGCUCAACCUCGGGCUUGCAGUGGGUACGGGCAGGCUAGAGCGCGGUAGGGGAGAAUGGAACUCCUGGUGUAGCGGUGGAAUGCGCAGAUAUCAGGAAGAACACCGAUGGCGAAGGCAGUUCUCUGGGCCGUAACUGACGCUGAGGAGCGAAAGCGUGGGGAGCGAACAGG